rnacentral:lncRNA from 1 species
GCCCCACGAGCCCAGGGCGCUGGCGGCGGCGGCGGCGGCGGCCCGGGCCGAGGAGGAGGCGGAGGAGGAGCGCAUGGAGCGGGAGCACUUCCGCAGGAUCAUCAACGCCUUCCGAUACUACGGGUAACCGGCGCCCGCCUGCUGCGGGCGGACACCCACACACACCCCCCACACACCCCCACACACACAGCCACGGAGCCGCCCCGCGGGGCUCCGCCUUGCAGGGGGAGCCAGCUCCCAGGCUUUGGAAGUAGAUAUAGGAUAUAGCUGUGCACUCCUGUUGACAGACCCUGCCACCCGAGCCAUUGUUAUGCCCUGCACUGCUUUUUGUCAAUGUCAAUGACAAACAUAUCCAGAACUUUUAAGUGACAGUGAGGUUCUUGGGCUGAGUAAGUGACAUUUUAAGUAUUUUUUCCUUCUUAUUGUUUCUCUAUCAUGGAUUUUUUUUGUUUUCCAGGAUUUAUGUUUGAGCAGGAGGUUGGACUGGAUGGCACCUUGGAUGUUUCCUCCGUACAGAAUUCGCUAAUAACAGGCAGCUGUCAUUUACUGAUGUCAGUGAUGUAACUGUAUCUUCUGGCCUCAGAAAGCAGGAACAUCCCUGUCAACCUCAUGCUCAAGUUAUGAUUCUGGGUUGCCUUUGAAUCCUUCAGAUUCAGUAGGAAACUGUAAUGAAAGGAUAUGACAAAUUCCAUUAUAGGAAUUGGAUUAAAUUCUGCCUCAGAUAAAUAACUCUGACUUUAAGUGGAAUUUUGUGUAUUGGUAGUUAAAAAUUAUGUGGAAACACCUGUGUGAACAAGGCAACAACACGUUUUCAAUUCAGUCUAGAUUAAGGUCUGCAGACAUAUGGGCCUAAAUUCAUCCUUUAUAGUUCUUCUGAUUUCAGUGAAUUAUUCAUUCUGCUAACAGGUGUCAACUCAUCAUCCAUCCUUUUAGUGAUGAUUCAAAGGAUGUUACUGACAAAACAUCCAACAGAUGUUGAUAAUGGGACAUUGUGUUUUUUAUAGAGGAUCAGUUUAUUUUUCCUACUGAUAUUUUCUACCUUAUUUUUAAAUGUCACUUAAACCCUGUGUAUGUAUUAAAAUGAACAUUUUCAGUAGUGUGAAUGUAAUGUUGGAAAUAUUAACUGGUCAAAUCUCCAGUCUGAGGUUGCAACUAAAACCACAGUAGCUACACCUGUUGUGAGCAGCUGAGCCCCACACAGUGGCUUGCUCACAGUGCAAUAGGGUGGAGAGAGGAAGGGGUAAAAGAGAGAAAACUCAUGGGUUGA